rnacentral:rRNA from 1 species
AUUGAACGCUGGCGGCAGGCUUAACACAUGCAAGUCGAACGAGUGGCGGACGGGUGAGUAAUGCUUGGGAAACUGCCUGAUGGAGGGGGAUAACUACUGGAAACUGUAGCUAAUACCGCAUACCAUCGGAUGUGCCCAGAUGGGAUUAGCUAGUUGGUGGGGUAACGGCUCACCUAGGCGACGGUCCCUAGCUGGUCUGAGAGGAUGACCAGCCACACUGGAACGGCGACACGGUCCAGACUCCUACGGGAGGCAGCAGUGGGGAAUAUUGCAAAAUGGGGGCAAGCCUGAUGCAGCCAUGCCGCGUGUAUGAAGAAGGCCUUCGGGUUGUAAAGUUCUUUCCGCGAGGAGGCGUUACUCGCAGAAGAAGCACCGGCUAACUCCGUGCCAGCAGCCGCGGUAAUUC